rnacentral:rRNA from 1 species
AGUGAACGCUGGCGGUAGGCCUAACACAUGCAAGUCGAACGGCAGCACAGUAAGAGCUUGCUCUUACGGGUGGCGAGUGGCGGACGGGUGAGGAAUACAUCGGAAUCUACUUUUUCGUGGGGGAUAACGUAGGGAAACUUACGCUAAUACCGCAUACGACCUACGGGUGAAAGCAGGGGAUCUUCGGACCUUGCGCGAUUGAAUGAGCCGAUGUCGGAUUAGCUAGUUGGCGGGGUAAAGGCCCACCAAGGCGACGAUCCGUAGCUGGUCUGAGAGGAUGAUAGGCCACACUGGAACUGGGACACGGCCCAAACCCCUACGGGGGGCAGAAGUGGGAAUAUUGGACAAUGGGCGCAAGCCUGAUCCAGCCAUACCGCGUGGGUGAAGAAGGCCUUCGGGUUGUAAAGCCCUUUUGUUGGGAAAGAAAGGCAGCAGGUUAAUACCCCGCUGUUCUGACGGUACCCAAAGAAUAAGCACCGGCUAACUUCGUG